CCUACGGGAGACAGCAGUGAGGAAUAUUGGUCAAUGGACGAGAGUCUGAACCAGCCAAGUAGCGUGAAGGAUGACUGCCCUAUGGGUUGUAAACUUCUUUUAUAAAGGAAUAAACCGAGGCACGUGUGUCUUUUUGCAAGUACUUUAUGAAUAAGGAUCGGCUAACUCCGUGCCAGCAGCCGCGGUAAUACGGAGGAUCCGAGCGUUAUCCGGAUUUAUUGGGUUUAAAGGGAGCGUAGAUGGGUUGGUAAGUCAGUUGUGAAAGUUUGCGGCUCAACCGUAAAAUUGCAAUUGAUACUGGCAGUCUAGAGUACAGUUGAGGUAGGCGGAAUUCGUGGUGUAGCGGUGAAAUGCUUAGAUAUCACGAAGAACCCCGAUUGCGAAGGCAGCUUACUAAGCUGUGACUGACAUUGAGGCACGAAAGUGUGGGUAGCAAACAGGAUUAGAUACCCCAGUAGUC
rnacentral:rRNA from 1 species